rnacentral:rRNA from 1 species
AUUGAACGCUGGCGGCAGGCCUAACACAUGCAAGUCGAGCGGAUGAGAGGAGCUUGCUUCUCGAUUCAGCGGCGGACGGGUGAGUAAUGCCUAGGAAUCUGCCUGGUAGUGGGGGACAACGUUUCGAAAGGAACGCUAAUACCGCAUACGUCCUACGGGAGAAAGCAGGGGACCUUCGGGCCUUGCGCUAUCAGAUGAGCCUAGGUCGGAUUAGCUAGUUGGUGAGGUAAUGGCUCACCAAGGCGACGAUCCGUAACUGGUCUGAGAGGAUUAUAAGUCACACUGGAACUGAAACACGGUCCAGACUCCUACGGGAGGCAGCAGUGGGGAAUAUUGGACAAUGGGCGAAAGCCUGAUCCAGCCAUGCCGCGUGUGUGAAGAAGGUCUUCGGAUUGUAAAGCACUUUAAGUUGGGAGGAAGGGUUGUAGAUUAAUACUCUGCAAUUUUGACGUUACCGACAGAAUAAGCACCGGCUAACUCUGUGCCAGCCGCCGCGGUAAAAC